AGAACGAAAAUGAGUUUCGUUCUAACUCUAACCCUUCCCAGCUCUGAUUUAAAAAUUUAAAGAACCAAUAAAAGUAAAAUCCACCGACGGCGAUUUUUGUGAGCCCAACACCAUUUCCACAGACGAGCUUUCUCGCAAGCUCUUUCUUCUCGAGAACAUCUCGAAAUUGAGCGGGCAGCAAGAAUAAGAAUCAACCUAUCCUUAAUCUGUUCCCAUGUAGUCGGCAUUCUAGAAGCGAAGCUUCCCAGCCGCCUGCCUCCUUGUGUGGAAAUGCUUUUCAUGAUCUCCAGCUCUUUCCCACCAGCUCRUUCUCCACUAGGCAUCUAGGCGAACCCGCCGGGUGAACUCAACGUAAAGAAAGUCAGUGAGUGCUUACUAAUAGGGAAAGGCUAACAUCUCUCUGUCAGAAGGCAAACAUCAGAUCAAAUAAAGAGGAAGCUUGUAGUCAGAAAAGACAGAAAACUAAGAGUUCAUAAGCUAUCUGAUCCUUUAGGACUCACAGAUAGUAGAGUAGCAAGCCCGGAUGGUUAUCCCUUUAUUUAAGACAGAUCGGUGUGUUAGCAUCUUUUUAUGUGCACUGGACCUACAUUGGUUCUUUAUUUUUUGGAGCAGAAAUAUCAUCAUGAUCUAUAUAGAGAAGCCUCUAGUCAUUGAAACCAGUUGGGAUCACUAAUUAUAUCCUCUCCUUCCUUGUUUAUGCACAGAUACAUGGAACACUGUUAUUUUGUUCAAUUAGUGUUGUACUUUAUUUAUCUGAUACCCUAAUAUAUGAAGUAGCGCAUAUACAGGAAAUGAUACAAAGAGGCUCUUUUUCCUUUAUGAAUAAUAACACUAUAAAGGGAAAAAUAUCCUGA